GCCAUCAAUUGAAACAGGUUUACUUCCACUGAGAUGUCUUUCAAAGCAGAGUGAUUUUAAAAUAAUGGUUGGUUUUAAACUGCUUAUUUAGGUGUCAUGAGUGCAUUUCAGUGGGAGUUUGUUUUUGUUUUUUUGUUUUUUGUUUUUUAAGACAGAGUCUCGCACUGUCACCCAGGCUGGAGUGCAGGGAUGUGAUCUUGGCUCACUAAAACCUCCACCUCCCAGGUUCAAGCGAUUCUUGUGCCUCAACCUCCCACGUAGCUGGGAUUACAGGCAUGCACCACCACAUUCUGCUAAUUUCUGUAUUUUGGACAGAGUUUUGCCAUGUGGUCCAGGCUGGUCUCAAACUCUGGACCUCAAGUGAUCCUCCUGCCUCGGCCUCCAAAGUUCUGGGAUACAGGUGUGAGCCACUGCGCCCAGCCGGGACUGUUUUUAUAACAUCGUUGCGUUUUAAGAAAAGUUUCAUGGCUUGUGACAAAUAGUAUGUAACUCAGUAAGUUUUGUGAACAAAGCUAUGUGAAAGGAUGAUAAAAUCUUGGGACCCCAGUGCACUCUGCCUAAAGGAAAAACUUAAACUGGAAGCUGAAUCAUGCAAGAAGUGGCCUUUCCUUUUGUUCCUAAGCAGAGGGCUAUGGAUAAAAGCAUCUCCACCGGUAGCUGCUUUCACCACCAUAAAGUGCCAAGGACUGAGAUCAAAGAGAGGACCCUGGCAACUCCCUCUGUGGAGCAGUUACCUGACCCCUGCGGGGACCACUGUCCUGACCCGGGUGCCAGUUGGCACUGCCCAGCUCUGAAUUCCAUGCACGUGGCCCCGGCAGGAGGCACCGGUGCCCUCCUUCCUCCUAGCAUCACGCCAGCAUCACAUCCACAUCACGCCAGCCUCCCGCCAGCAUCACGCCAGCAUCAUGCCAGCCUCACCCUGUUGUGGCUGCACCUGAAGCUUGUUUACUGUUGCUGCCUUGUUGGAUUCUGUCCCGUGAACACACCACGGUUUAUUCAUCCAUUCUGUUGUCAAUCGGCGUCUGGACCGUCUUCAGUUUGGGGCGAUGAAUACACCUGCUGUGAACAUUCAGAUGCUCGUCUUGGGUGAAUUUACAUACACAUUUCUGUUGGGCAUGUGCUAGGGGCUGCAUCGCUGGGUCACUGCCUCCCUGAGUCCCCUGUGUCCAGCUGCAGGACGCCCUCACAUGCACCCCAGCUCCCACUGCUCCACAGUUAGGCUAUGAUUUGGUAGUUCUGCCUUUCUCAUCUUAGCCAUGCUAGUGCAGAACAAAAGUUCCUAAUUUUGGCAUAAAUCAAAUUUAUCUGUGUAAGUUUCUGGAGCCUCUAUUUGUUCCAUUGGUCCAUGUUUGUUUCAAGAGUCCCACUUUGUGUUAUUUACUGUAACUUUAAAUGAAGGCACAAUACUCAAUAGUGAGAGUCCUCCGACUUUGCUCUUCCUCAAGAUUGUAUUAACUGUUAUUGACUCUGCAUGUUUUUAAUUUUUUAUUAUAUUUUAAGUAUAAUAAAAUACUGGAGACCCGGG